rnacentral:rRNA from 1 species
AUGGGUUCUGCUAUCACUCUUGGGAUGGGACCCUGCGGUGCAUUAGCUAGUUGGUAAGGUAACGGGCUUACCAAGGCAAUGAUGCAUAGCCCGAGUUGAGAGACUGAUCGGGCCACAUUGGGGACUGAGACACGGGCCCAAAACUCCUACGGGGAGGCAGCAGUAGGGAAUCUUCCACAAUGGACGCAAGUCUGAUGGAGCAACGCCGCGUGAGUGAAGUAAGGGUUUCGGCUACGUAAAGCUCUGUUGGUAGUGAAGAAAGAUAGAGGUAGUAACUGGUCUUUAUUUGACGGUAAUUACUUAGAAGUCACGGCUAACUACGUGCCAGCAGCCGCGGUAAU